GAGGGAGGGGUGAGAAGACUAGU
rnacentral:piRNA from 1 species